UUCAAAACACCUGGAGGGCCGAAGUUUGCCCAUUCCUGCUUUAGAGCCUUUUCCAUGUGCCUGGCAGGUAGCAGUGCAUCUCUUUGUGAGCCAUGAUAAAAGGGAUCCAGACUGCUUGCAUUAAAUAGUGCAGAUGCUUGAAAUGGUAAAGAAAGACAGAAAGUUGUAAUGUUAACAUGCCAUUAAUUACAUUAUAAUAGUAAAACAGUUGAAUUUAUAGCAGUCUAAAAACUCAUUGAUUAAAAAGCUCCCAUCUGUUGAAGCCUCCUUAGUAGCCAGUAUGUUAACUGAAGUCAGGAAUGUUUCCUCUCUCUCUGAUGUGUGUACAGUGUUCCCUCACUACUUCGCGGUUCACUUUUCACGGAUUCGCUGUUUUGCAGUUUUUCAAUAAACUCUAAAAGACUAUUAUAAAUCAUAAAAAAUUACAAUUUACAGCCUAAGGAAGGAAGGAAGGAGAAGCCAAAUGGAGAGAAAAGGAGCCCAAGUGGCAAUGGGAGGAGAAGAAGGUGAUUUAUCAACACAUGAUUGGUUGAUAAAGACUUAAAAUAGUGUAUAACUACUAAAAUAAUGUAUAAAUAUUAGAAUAAAUAUAGUGUCCCUUCUUCGUGGAUUUUCACUUAUUGCAGGUGGUCCUGGAACCUAAACCCAGCGAUAAGUGAGGGAACACUGUAUAUGUGUAAUUUUUGUGUUAUAUGGGUUUAUGUAAAAUACUGUAAUGCCAUGGCUCACUGCUAUUAGAGAAUCAUGGGAGUUGUAGUUUCACAAAGUCUUUUAAGAAUUCUGUGUCUCAUCAAACUAUAAAUCCCAUGAUUCCUCAACAUUGAGCAAUGGCAGUUAAAGUGGUGUCAAACUGUAAUAAUUGUAUAGUAUAUAUGCCCCCUCCCCUGUACCUGCACAGUUUCUGAGCAUGUCCAGAGGUUGACUUCCUUCUGUUUAGGGACUCUACUCUGAGAUAGUUCUGCAGUAUCCAAACUGGAAGGGCUUGCCAUAAAUUAUUUGGAGAGGCAGAAUAGAGCUUCACAGAACCUCAGAUGUGUCUUCUUCUCUCAUGCCUCAUAAGGCAUUUACUUCUUGCUCACAAUCAGGGCUUUUGCUUAUGUAAAUAGAAAACCAAGUAUAUUUAAUAGAGUUCUGGUACAAUGUGUUCUGGUAAUUUUAAAGCAUUUAAAGCUUUCUGGCACUGUCGUAAUAGAAUGGGUGUAGGGGAGGGAAGUACUUAAGGAAACAUUUGGAAAAAUGGGAAAUUAGCUGGAUCAUAUAUUUUAUUUUAAUAAAGAAAUGCAUAAUUAUAGCCUCCUGGAUCCUACCAAAGAAAGCUUAUAUCGGGCACAUGUAUACUAUACAAUUAUUACAGUUUGACACCACUUUAACUGCCAUUGCUCAAUGUUGAGGAAUCCUGGGAUUUGUAGUUUGGUGAGGCACAGAAUUCUUAAAAGACUUUGUGAAACUACAACUCCCAUGAUUCUGUAAUAGCAGUGAGCCAUGGCAUUACAGUGGUGUCAAAUUGCAUUAAUUAUAUAGUGUUGAUGUCCCCUAAGCCAGCCUGCUCAAUUGUUAUGUGAAUUUCAGCUUCCACAAGAACCGUGGGUUUGGGGCCCGGCACGUCAAGCUUCCCAGAAAGCCAGUUGAGAUAUAGAAAGGUUGAAGGCAAAAUCAGAGGCUUUAUUCUCAAAGGCCAAUGAGGAUGUCAGCGGAAAUAGCACACCAAAGCACUGACAUAUUGCAAUUACAAAUACAGAGCAUAUUUAUUAGAGGUAUGCAAUUUGGCCAAAAGACAUGCCAAAAGGCCCCUUAUUCUGUUUACUGGAAGUUACACAAAAGGGGAGGGGUGUUUCCGUUUUCAUUUGGCAGAGAUUUCGCCCAUUGGCUACAAUGGGAAACUUUAAAGGCCCAAUCCUCAGCCAUUUUAAGGCCUAUCUGCAUGAAACCUACCUCAGUUUUAGAUGCCAUUUACAACUGCAGGCCUGUCAAGUUUCAAAACAAUUCACCAAUCUACUGAUUAUUUUAGAAUUCUUUUAAGUUUUAAACAUAACAUUUUUUAAAAUAAGACAAACUGCAAGAGAGGGUUAUGGAAAUUGUAGUCGACGGUUGUGUCCAUUCUCAGCCAAUCAGAGCAUAGGCUUUUUAUUGGCUGAGAAACACAGAGAGGGAGAAACUUCAACUCCCAUCAUGCUCUGAGAGGAACUUUUCAAUGGCUACCCUAAGCAAGGGCUGCUGGGAAAGCGAGUUCCCAGGGCCCUCUCUGGAGGACGAGGGAAGUUUCCAAGAAAAAAUGGAUUUAGGCUGCUCUGCGAGGAGAGAAAAAGACAUGGCAGAUCCCCUGCCUCAGGGGCCAAUCUACACAGGACAAAUGAGGCAAGACACAGAGUGCUUCUCAGCAGAGACUAAAUCUGACCUGCAUAAGACUUUCAUUUUAGAACUCUCUCUCAUGAAGAAACCUUAAGAAUGGUUAUUUAAAAAAAGUUUUGGGAGAGAAACUAAGCAAAAAGCUACAUGUUCAGUUGGCUCUCCAUGUCUUUUGCAUCCUUCAAUUAACUAUGGUUCAAAAAUAUUUGGAGAAAAAACCCUAAAGAAAACCUUGAUUUUGCCUCAUUUUCCUAGUAUACUAGUUGACAGCUGAACAGACAGGCUUCCUUCUCCUAAUCCAGGCUGCUGAGAGUUGAAACUCAAAAUACUAACCAAAGUACUGUCUGAAGGAUUGUAUUCAAUACCAGAAGUUAGCUUAUUCAUGUCUGACAAAAUACGUCCUCUCCAAGUGAAUCUAUGCCAGCGGCUCCCAAAUUUUGUUCCAGGAAGCAUCUUUUAAGAAAAACCCUUUUUAAAAGGCCUGUGCCAGAGUAUGAAGAUUUUGUUGAAAUUCAGUACACCUCUACUUUAAAAAUGAAUUUGAAUAUCUUUAUUUCUAAACAUCCAGGCAAAUGACAGAAAAAUAUGCUUCUCACUGCAGAUGUGAACUUGUGCACACAAUCUGACAAAGCA